AAUUUUUGUAAAAAUUAUAAAAAUUAUAAACUAUCUAUAGACCGUAUGAAUAUUUAUGUAUUAAAAACUAAACUUCUUGUUCUGUUGCCUUUCGCUUUUUUCAAC